UGUACUUACUAAUUGACAGCUGAAAAUAUGAACCAAUAUUUUCAUCUUUGUGUAUUAGGGAUGAACUGCAAUAUUUCUCUCUUAUGUUUUAAAACACGUUUUUACCUGUAUAUUAUAUAUCACAACCUAUCUAAAAUAUCACUUUUGUUUAUUUUUAAGAAUAGCACCAUUUUUGGAUGAGCACCUGAUCAAAGCAUCAGGCACGUACUGCAGUACCCUAUCAAUGAUGGCAGAAGAUAAAUAAAUAAAAGCAUAAGUAGAAAUUAUUAAUAAUUUUAAAGAUUGCAAACCAGGAGAAGAUUGAGGGAGAUAAGUUAUAAGUGGAUGGCCAUUACAGAAGUCUCUACAUAUUAUGAAACUUAGUAAAAUGAUUGAUUC